UACGUAGGGGGCAAGCGUUGUCCGGAAUUAUUGGGCGUAAAGAGCUCGUAGGCGGUUCGUCACGUCGGCUGUGAAAUCCCGAGGCUCAACCUCGGGUCUGCAGUCGAUACGGGCGGACUUGAGUACUGCAGGGGAGACUGGAAUUCCUGGUGUAGCGGUGAAAUGCGCAGAUAUCAGGAGGAACACCGGUGGCGAAGGCGGGUCUCUGGGCAGUAACUGACGCUGAGGAGCGAAAGCGUGGGGAGCGAACAGG
rnacentral:rRNA from 1 species